UUUUCCCUCUUCCAUUCUCUUAACGUGCUGUCUCGUUCCUCUAUUUCCUUAUCCCUGAGAAUGGCAGUCUGGAUUACCAUCGAUUGUUAUUUCCAAUUCUCUCUAUGUAUCAUGUUCUGCCUGUUGGACCAGACUUUUUUUUCCCCAGCACCUGGUGCUGGCUCUGUUUCACCAUGACUGCUCCACCCCAGGUGUUGUAUUUUUAGUAGAGAUGGGGUUUCACCAUAUUAGCCAGGAUGGUCUCAAUCUCCUGGCCUCGUGAUCCUCCCAUCUCAGCCUCCCAAAGUGCUGGGAUUACAGACGUGAGCCACUGUGCCCGGCCACCUGGAGUAUUCUUAACAGUGCUCUCACUUCUGGAGGAACUGCUCAGCCACCAAAGAUGUACAAGUUGUUGGGUUUUAUGUUUUAACACCUUACUGGUAACACUUACCUUACUAAGAAUAUUUAUUCUAAGGAAUAAUUUCCAGAGUAAUUUCAAAAUAAUUACUUCCUCUAUUCCUAUGCCUCUCCCCCUUUAAACCAACCAACCAGCCAAGCAACCAACCAACCAAAAACGUAUCCAGAUCUUUGAUGAUUACUGCAAUAAAUACAGAAACAUAACAAUAAGUUGUUUAGAUGAAAAUGGUUACAAACUACCAAGACAAAAUACUGAGUAAGUCUUAUUAAAACAAAGGCUGAAUUUGAUAUAUUUU
rnacentral:lncRNA from 1 species